GAUGAACGUUGGCGGCGUGCCUAACACAUGCAAGUCGAACGGAAAUAGCAAUAUUUGAGUGGCGCACGGGUGAGUAACACGUAGCUAAUCUACCUCAAAGCGCGGGAUAACGUGUCGAAAGACAGGCUAAUACCGCAUAAGCUCCCGGUCUGUAGAGGAUUGGGAGAAAAGGCGCAAGUCACUUUGAGAUGAGGCUGCGGCCCAUCAGCUAGUUGGUGCGGUAAUGGCGUACCAAGGCGACGACGGGUAGGGGACCUGAGAGGGUGACCCCCACACUGGGACUGAGACACGGCCCAGACUCCUACGGGAGGCAGCAGUGAGGAAUAUUGCACAAUGGGCGAAAGCCUGAUGCAGCGACGCCGCGUGGGUGAAGAAGGUUUUCGGAUCGUAAAACCCUUUUCUGUGUGACGAGCAAGGACGGUAGCACAGGAAUAAGUCUCGGCUAACUACGUGCCAGCAGCCGCGGUAAU
rnacentral:rRNA from 1 species